AUGCUUGCCUGGGUAGCAUAUAUACUAAAAUUGACAUGAUACAGGAAAGAUUAGCACAGCCUCAAUACCAAGAUGACAUGCUAAUCUGUGAUGUGCUCUGUAGUAGU